rnacentral:rRNA from 1 species
UACGUAGGGGGCAAGCGUUGUCCGGAAUUAUUGGGCGUAAAGAGCGUGUAGGCGGCCAGAUAAGUCCGCUGUGAAAUCUCGAGGCUCAACUUCGAGCUGUCGGUGGAAACUAUCUGGCUAGAGUCCGGAAGAGGAGAUGGAAUUCCUGGUGUAGCGGUGAAAUGCGCAGAUAUCAGGAAGAACACCCGUGGCGAAGGCGGGUCUCUGGGCAGUAACUGACGCUGAGGAGCGAAAGCGUGGGGAGCGAACAGG